rnacentral:rRNA from 1 species
CGGGAAACUGGGGAUAAUCCCUGAUAGAUCUCGGUCGCUGGAAUGCUCCGAGAUCCAAAGCUCCGGCGCUCAAGGAUGGGUCUGCGGCCUAUCAGGUAGUAGUGGGUGUAGCGUACCUACUAGCCUACGACGGGUACGGGUUGUGAGAGCAAGAGCCCGGAGAUGGAUUCUGAGACACGAAUCCGGGCCCUACGGGGUGCAGCAGGCGCGAAAACUUUACAAUGCCGGCAACGGCGAUAAGGGAACCUCGAGUGCCAGGUUACAAAUCUGGCUGUCGUGAUGCCUAAAAAGCAUUGCAUAGCAAGGGCCGGGCAAGACCGGUGACAGCCGCCGCGGUAAUA